rnacentral:lncRNA from 1 species
AACUCGGUUCCUUUUCCCCUUUUCCAAUGCAGUUUAUUCCUGAGUCUGAAGUUUAGUAGCCCCACUAGAAAAGACUGUGAAAAAGCAAUAUCCAUACCUCCUCUGGAGCCCACUCCCUUCAGGAGCCCACCUAGGUGCCCGCUUCCCUCCCACCCAAGAUCCUGUAGGGAAGGGUGUUCAUGAUCAAACCCAGAAGAUACCUGUGAGACCUCUCCAGAGAAAAGGAAAGAAAUAUUCACUAUCACUGUUGUCUUCCAUCCUCCCUUAUACAUUUUCCCGCCAGUCUCUUAACUUCCCAGGCUUCUUUCAAACUCCCUCUUUCUCUGUAUAGUAGCUUCCUGUACAAUUGUGUAUCCCAUUUAGACAUGAAAACUUGCCUAAAAGAAAUUAGGCAGAUAUGCGGUGCCAGAGACACAAGUGACUCACUCCCUUGCUUCAUUUAGUUUCCUCGUCAAAUGUCACUUGUAGUGAGAAAGGCCUUACCUUGACCCCCACCUCUGCGUAAAAUAGUCAUCCCUUCCAACCAAUAACUUAACCUGAUAUACAUUCCCUUGGAGCAUUUAUCGUACCCAUCAGAUUCUGUGUUAAUUUCUUACUUGAUUUGUGUGUGUGUGUGUGUGCGCGCGCGUGUGUGUGUGUGUGUGUGUGUGUGUGUGUGUGUGUGUGUUUUUAGGACCUCACCCCACAUAUGGAGGUUCCCAUGCUAGGGAUCGAAUCAGAGCUGUAGCUGCUGGCCUACGCCACAGCCACAGCAACACUGGAUCCUUAUCCCACUGAGCGAGGCCAGGGAUCAAGCCCACAUCCUUAUGGAUACUAGUCAGGUUCAUUAACCACUGAGCCACGACAGGCACUCCUCUUACUUGAUUUUUAUGUCUCUUCAUGCACACCGUGAGGUCAGGGACUCACUGCUUCAUCCCUGUGGUAAACACGUGACUGGUAUAUAGUAAACCCUUCAAUUUUUUCUGAAUGAACUAUCUAUUAAGUUUGACAAUUCAGAGCCUUGAGGUUUAUCUUAAUGAGGGAGCUGCUGUGCUCAUCAUCUCUGUUUCAAAGCUUAGUCUGUUGAAGUUUGGAGCUUGCCCAGGGUCACACAAGUGGUAAGUGGAACUGAGAUCCACGCCCAGAUCUGCUGACUCUGUUUAUUCAGGUGACACUAUAAAAUGCCUCCAAAUAGAGAUAAAUUAAUUUGAUAAAUAUUUAUCGGUAUGUCUUUAAUGAGAAAACAUAAUGAACAGAAAGAGCACGUGCAUUAAACUUUAUCACACGCAACUGCUUCUCAGAAUGAAUAAGGCCAGAACGUCAACUACGCUUCAUCUGAAGAUUGCAUAUCCGUCAAGUGCUCCAGUGUUUCUCCAUGAAUUUUUAAUAUGGAAUGUUUAGGGAAAAGAAAUGGCCAACUUGAUUUUACUUUUCAUUUCUUUUUGCCUAAUUCUAAAGUGACUGCUCAUUUGUCAGGAUUAAACUUGUGUUGCUUUAUGUUUCUCCUUUUUGGAAAGAGGAGAGAUGGUGGGGAAAUACAUCUUUCAAGUUUAUAAAUUAUGCUCCUUUCAUUUCCCACAGAUGGCCCUUGCUUCCCUAGAGACACUUGGGCAUUGGUGGUUAAGCAAGUAGAUUUGGAGCCAAGUCAGAUUUUUAUUGAGGCAUUUGAACUUUUUCUUGCUUCCCUUUCAAACUCCUCAGCCUUCAGCUGAGUUGGAAAGGUAAUGUACAGUUCUCAGAUAAAUUUUCAGAUGAUAGGCUUUCAUCUUUGUUUCUUGGUGGCGGGAGUAGAGUAGAUGAGGUUGGAAGUUUUGAUUUCGCAAAAAGGUAACAAGAUAAUGUCUUUUUUAUCGUAAGAUUUUUUAUCCAAAGUUUAUUUCUUAUCUGAAACAUACUUUCAAUUUUUAAUAAUAUGGAAAAAAUAAAGAGUUGUGAAAAAUUUAAUCCAUGUGUAUAAACACAGAAAGCCAUAAAGAUUAAGUACUAUGACAAAACCCCCAAAUAUUUUAAGACUAAUUUGCCUUAAAAAUUUCAGCACAUUUUCUUUUUUGCUCAGUUCUACUGGGUUCUGUUUUCUAUCAAAAGAAAACAGUCUGUCAUGUUAAUAUACAAGAGCAGCAAAAAACUGCAUGAGGAUACCACCCUUGGAGCUGCUGAAAAGAAAUAAUUUUCAAAAGUUUUCUUAAAAUGUAUGGAGUCCUCUUUUCAGAUUUACUGACUAUAAUCAGCUACCUGAAAAGUUCUUAUAUUUUGGCUACUAUUUAACAGUCAAUUAUUCUGUGGUGAGCAAACAUUUUUUAUUUUAAGUACCUAAAAAGAGCACUACAGUUUUUUUUUGUUUGUUUUUGGUUUUUUUUGUUUGUUUGUUUGUUUUGUCUUUUUGCUAUUUCUUUGGGCCGCUCCCUCGGCAUAUGGAGGUUCCCAGGCUAGGGGUCGAAUUGGAGCUGUAGCCACCAGCCUACGCCAGAGCCACAGCAACGCAGGAUCCGAGCCGCGUCUGCAACCUACACCACAGCUCACGGCAACGCCGGAUCGUUAACCCACCGAGUAAGGUCAGGGACCGAACCCGCAACCUCAUGGUUCCUAGUUGGAUUCGUUAACCACUGUGCCACGACGGGAACUCCAAAAGAGCACUACAUAAUCAAAAAGUCCCCAAAGGAACAUAAUUCAUAAUCCUACUAUUCACACUUAAAUAUUUUAGUUUUUGCCUUUAGUUAUUACCCUGUAGUGCUUGCCCAUUUUUGUGCAAAUGAAAAUCAUGUGGCUUUUUAAAAAAUAUUAUAUUCGAUUUUUAAAUCAUUCACUUAAAUGACUACAUUAUGUUGAUAUCACAUUGUAUCAAUUACUGUUUAAAUUGUUUUCAUUUUGGCAACUAAUAUUCCCAUAUAAUUUUUGGUUCUAUCGCUUUAUUUUCUUAAAAGAAAUUACCUUAAGCAAUAGGACCAAGUCAAAAGCAGAUUUUUUAGCUACAUAUGAGUAUAACAGAUUUGCUUCAGCCAUGACUAUUCUGUGCAUGUGCUUAAAUAUUGCUAAUUUAGUAGUUGCAAAAUUUUAACUCAGGAAAUUAAUUUACUUAAAAUUUUAAAUAAAGUAGUGAUCUCUAUAUUUUAUUAUUUGCAUCUAUUCUUUUGGGAGUUACAUGCUCAUAGCUGUGUAAGCAAGCAUUUCAUUGCUCCUGCUUCCACAGGAGUCAAUAAUUUCAGUGCUGCAUAUUGAAACAUUGAUAGGCAAGGAAUAAUAAAGACACUGCACAAUCCCCAGACAAUUGACUUGAAAUGUUAUAUAGUAUACCAUGAGGUUGUAAGAAACUAUAAAGUAUCCAGAUACAUCUGAACCUCUGGUACUUUUAUAAUACGAAUAGGUAUGCAUAUAAAGCUUUUAGAACCAGAAUGUACUUCCAUUCUUUCAUAUUUUUUAUGUUUGGGAUAUGCAUGUCUAUACAGAUGCUGAGAGAAGUAAAUCUGAGUGUGGAUGUGAACUCGUGUGUGAUUUUGAGCAGGUUAAUGCCUUGGUUUCCUAUCCAGAUGGAUUUAUUUACAGCAGUAUGGUAAUUAGCAUUUAGUGGAACAUGUAAAGCACUCAAAAAUGUUAGCUAUCAUUAUUAAAGUCUGAUCAGUCAUGUUAACUCAGAACCAAUAUAAUAUGUGGCUUAUUCAAGUAAUUUAGUGGAAUUAAUUUUUACAAAUGCAUUUUCUUUUGGAAUUUGUAGUAGUCAGUGUAAACAGUAAUUGAUGGCAUUACAGCUACAAACAUGUUGUACCAGAUGUGUUUCCUAAAGCAAAUCUAAGGGAUAAAAACACAUUGUGAUUGUGAAGUGAUGUAAUGUGUGUAUACAUGGAGGAUUGUGCAGUAGGAAGUAGAAUGUAGUAAACAUGGGUUUUGCCCAUUACGACUUUAUAACCUAGGCAACACAGUGUCAAAGAGACAAGUGCUCUAUCUUUCAUAAAUUGACAAUGGAUAAAUUGUAGGAGACUAUUAAUAAGAGAAAAAUCUAUCAUAGUGGAAAAUAAUUUGAACAGAUUAAAGUAAUACUUCUUAUAUUAAAUUCUAUUUUGUCUGACCCUAAUAGAGCCACUGAAGCUUACUUAUGCAUAUUGUAUAUCUUUUUCAACCUUUCUCAGCCUAUUAAUAUUUUUACAAAUGUAAAAAUUCUGUAUCUCUUGUGGAUGGCAUAUGAUUGAGUCUAGCUUUUUUUACAGCUUGGCCUAACAAUGUCUGCCAUUUGAUUAAAACAUUUAGUCCAUUUACAUUUAAUGUAAUUAGUGAUAUAGUUAAAUUUAGGUCUGCUCUUUGCUAUUUGUUUUCUGUUUGUCUUAGGUAUUUCUUGUUUCUUUUCUGCCUUGUGAUAAAUAUUUUACAGUGUAUCGUUUUAAUUCCAUUGGCUUUUUAUAGCUAUAUUCCUUUGAAUUCUUCUAAUGAUUACCAUAAGGAUUCCAGUAUACCUUAAUGUAUCAUAAUCAGCUUAAAAUUAUUAAUGAAUUAACUUUGGAACAAAAAUAUAUACGGCGAUAUAGAUAGGAGAUAGUGGUAUAGCUGUAGAUAUCUUGCAACUCUGUCGUUCCAGUUAUCUUACCUCCAUUCUUGGUGCUAUUAUUACAUUAUAUAUAUAUUACAUCUAUAGACAGGCAGACCUCAGUGAAUCAAUAUUACAAUAAAGCAAGUGGCACAAAUGUUUUGGUUUCCCAGUGCAUAUAAAAGUUAUGUUUACACUAUGCUAUAGUUUAUCAAGUGUGCAAUAGCAUUAUGCCUGAAAACAAUGUACAUACCUUAAGUUAAAAAUACUUUAUUGCUAAAAAAUGCUAAACUUCAUCUGAGCCUUCAGUGAGUUGUAAUCUUUAAACAAUAGUAACAUCAAAGAUCACUGAUCACAGAUCUCCACAACAUAUAUAAUAAUAAUGAAAAAGCUUGAUAUUGGGAGAAUUACCAAAAG